rnacentral:rRNA from 1 species
CCUACGGGUGGCAGCAGUGAGGAAUAUUGGUCAAUGGACGCAGGCCUGAACCAGCAAAGUCGCGUGAGGGAAGACUGCCCUAUGGGUUGUAAACCUCUUUUAUAAGGGAAGAAAAAUGACUACGUGUAGUCAGAUGCCCGUACCUUAUGAAUAAGCAUCGGCUAACACGGUUCCAUCAGCCGGGGUACUACGGGGGAUGCGAGCGUUAUCGGGUUUGAUUGGGUUAAAAGGGUGCGUAGGCGGUAUUUUAAGUUAGUGGGAAAACGUCGGGGCUUAACCGUGAUUGGCAAUUAAAACUGGAGGACUAGAGUGCAGACGAGGUGGGCGGAAUAAGUUAAGUAGCGGUGAAAUGCUUAGAUAUAUCUUAGAACCCCGAUAGCGAAGGCAGCUUACCAGACUGUUACUGACGCUGAAGCACGAGAGCGUGGGGAGCGAACAGGAUUAGAUACCCGGGUAGUC